rnacentral:SRP_RNA from 1 species
GCCGAGCUAUGUAGCGCUAGCUUAUGACUCAAGCGAGGGCAUUAAACCGUUGGAACAACGGGUCGGCCCACCCUGCAGGGUUGAAUUUGUGCGAUCUGCUGACCCGCCCAUUCCAAGUUGUGGGUUGGGCCUUGUGGUUCAGGCUAAGGCCUGGGCUGCGUGGCCCUUAGAGAGGAGGGCAAAGCGUGAGGCUGGUUUCACAGAGCAGCGAAAACCGCCCGCCCACAACAGUGGAAGGAUAACGGGUUUGUGCACUGUCAACCCAUAUUGCUUGGUGGGCUGACCUGGUUGAACCACUUUUUUUUUU